UGGGCUAUAAGUUAAGAAGACUGGGAGUUUUCAGGGCUCCAAGUAAGGCUGUUCUUUGGCCCAG
rnacentral:tRNA from 1 species